CUUUCACACUCGAUAAAUGAUAUAAAGCACGAAAACACUUUUUAUUUGGAAUGAUGACAUCGUUCAGCGAUGAAACUGUGGAUAAAACUACUCCGUUACUUUCUUCUCAAAGAAUUUCUUCAGUUCGAGAAAAGCUUCCAUAUCCAAAGGCCGCAUUGUUCAUUUUGCUGCUUCCAUUUGGAAUUUACUUUUUCUACGUUUCAUUAUUAA